GAUCUGGCUCGGGACGAACGCUGGCGGCGCGCCUAACACAUGCAAGUCGAACGAGAGAGAGGGAGCUUGCUUCCUCAAUCGAGUGGCGAACGGGUGAGUAACGCGUGAGGAACCUGCCUCAAAGAGAGGGACAACAGUUGGAAACGACUGCUAAUACCGCAUAAGCCCACAGCUCGGCAUCGAGCAGAGGGAAAAGGAGCAAUCCGCUUUGAGAUGGCCUCGCGUCCGAUUAG
rnacentral:rRNA from 1 species